rnacentral:rRNA from 1 species
UACGGAGGAUCCAAGCGUUAUCCGGAAUCAUUGGGCGUAAAGAGCGUGUAGGCGGCUAUUUAAGUCCUGCGUGAAAUCCUGCGGCUCAACCGCAGACGGUCGUGGGAAACUGGAUGGCUAGAGUGCGGGAGAGGAGGGUGGAAUUCCCGGUGUAGCGGUGAAAUGCGCAGAUAUCGGGAAGAACACCCGUGGCGAAGGCGGCUCUCUGGAACGCAACUGACGCUGAGACGCGAAAGCGUGGGGAGCAAACAGG